rnacentral:rRNA from 1 species
UUUCCUUACAUGUCCUGAAAUACGGUCACCCUUCUACGCAUGUCAGGCUGCUUGGGUUCAAAGUCAUU